rnacentral:misc_RNA from 1 species
AACAAGGCGUACCUGCGGACCUGCGGAGGGAUCAUUACAGAGUUGCAAAACUCCCUAAACCAUUGUGAACCUACCUUCUACCGUUGCUUCGGCGGGCGGGCCUAGCGCCCCCCCGGCCCCCCGCGGGCGCCCGCCGGAGGAUAACCAAACUCUUGACAUCAGUGGCCUCUCUGAGUAUUCUUUACUGAAUAAGUCAAAACUUUCAACAAUGGAUCU